UGAGUGACCUGCCGAUUUGUGGGGGAUAGCCGGGCCAACGCCCGGGUAAUACCGCAUACGCUCUUCUUGGGGCAUCUCUAGAAGAGGAAACCUCCGGAGCAAAUCGAGGGACUCGCGGCCUAUCAGCUAGUUGGUGUGGGUAAUGGCCCACCAAGGCGACGACGGGUAGCCGGCCUGAGAGGGUGACCGGCCACACUGGGACUGAGACACGGCCCAGACUCCUACGGGAGGCAG
rnacentral:rRNA from 1 species